AAGUCGGGAUACUUUGAUUGGAAAUGCUUCCACGCUUUUGCAUCUGAAGGAUGUCUGAUCUCACCAUCUGUUGAGUGCUCCGCAUGCCAUCUCAUUGGUUGCGCUGUGCGUUCAGACAGAUACAACCUCUGCAACCUUUCCGUCAAAGUUAAAUACCACAUCCUUUUAUAUGGCACUGGAACUCUUCCAUUCGUAUCUUUAUAGCGAGGCUUUCCACAAAAUUUGCAUGUAACCCUAAAUACCACAUCCUUUUAUAUGGCACUGGAACUCUUCCACUCGUAUCUUUAUAACGAGGCUUUCCACAAAAUUUGCAUGUAACCUGCUGUUCAUCCGCCCUCCAAUAAAUCAUGCAGUUGUCGCUGCAUACAUCUAUUACCUGAUACGAUAAACCAAGACCAGCUACGAGUUUCUGAACCUCGUAGUAUGAACUAGGAGCUACAUUAUCAUCGGGUAGAAUACCUUUUACAAAAUCAGCAAUCGCAUCC
rnacentral:lncRNA from 1 species